AGACCUGACGGUUUUAUGAGGGGCUUUUCCCUCUUUUGCUCAGCAUUUCUCCUUGCUGCCGCCAGGUGAAGAAGGACGUGUUUGCUUCCCUUUCUGCCAUGAAUGUUUCCUGAGGCCUCUCCAGCCCUGUGGAAAUUGCCUAAAAGCCAUGAAUCUGAACCAAGUCCUGGAAUGUGAAGUCUGACAACCACAAAAAAACUGUAUCCUCGGAGCUUGCUUGCCACUCUUCGCGGCCAUGGGAAGAAGCCCUCUUAUCACCUCUACUUUUUAUAAUUCGUGCAAGAGCUUCUCAUUACCAAUACCUCACUUAGGUUACUUUUAGCUUCAGAGGAUCUGAGAAAUGCGAUUUUUAAAAUACACUUGCCCUGUUGUAACAGAGAAUGAUUAUUAUUCUUCAAGAAGAAAUCCUCCUCUUUAAUGCUGUAUCCCAAAGCCUAGAAGAACCAGAGACUUACUAGCUAUCCAAUAAAUAUUGUUGAGUAAACAAAUGACAGACAUUUGCAUGCAGGCCUCAAAAAUAAGGAGCAGCUGAAGUGAUAGAGGUAGAAUGAGGCAAUAAAUUAUUAGCAAAGAGAGCGGAGUAUUUACAGGCAGCGAUAUACUAAUGAACCUGAAAAUUUGGAGAAUAUUUGGAAAAAUAAAAGAGCUUGCAUCCCUGGAAUGCAAUGAAAAGAAAAGUGCUCAAAAGACCAAGAAGAAAAGCCAAACAUGCAUCCCUAAUCAAUCGCACAGAAUGCCUGCUUCUCAUUAACCCGCCUAGACCUCCCCAUGCCCACCGCCUCCAAUCAGUCCUGAUAAAUUUCCAAACCUGUCCAAGGACUGAUUUAACCCUCGGCCUCCCAAAGUGUUGGGAUUACAGGCGUGAGCCACUGCGCCCGGCCUAAAGAAAAAAUGAGGAUGGUGACUUUGUUUUCUAUUGCUUCUACCAUAAUACCAGAAAGCAGUCCCUAGUGAUGCGAUGGAGACACAUUACAAUCUGAAAGGAUACUCUUUGAGUUUGGAGAAUAGUUACCAAGCUAAUGUUAACAGCACAGCUCAGCAACACAGAGGUUAGCCUGGGCAUGACUUCAGGAUGGCAGAGGCACAAGAAAGCAAGCAGGAAGAUACAAGUGACCUCCCAAACUUUUUCGGGUGUUGAGACUAACAACGGUCAAUAUCCAAAUAUAUAAAGACAUGAAAUUAAUA
rnacentral:lncRNA from 1 species